rnacentral:rRNA from 1 species
UACGUAGGGCGCAAGCGUUGUCCGGAAUUAUUGGGCGCAAAGAGCUCGUAGGCGGUUUGUCGCGUCUGCUGUGAAAACUCGGGGCUUAACUCCGGGCCUGCAGUGGGUACGGGCAGACUAGAGUGCGGUAGGGGAGACUGGAAUUCCUGGUGUAGCGGUGGAAUGCGCAGAUAUCAGGAGGAACACCGGUGGCGAAGGCGGGUCUCUGGGCAGUAACUGACGCUGAGGAGCGAAAGCGUGGGGAGCGAACAGG